ACACGCAUGACACACUGCAUAUCAAUAAGCGGAGGAAAAGAAACUAACAAGGAUUCCCUUAGUAACGGCGAGUGAAGCGGGAAGAGCUCAAAUUUGAAAUCUUCAAGGUUCUACCUUGACGAAUUGUAGUUUAUAAGAAGUGUUUUCUGUUAGUAGGAGUGGCAAAAGUUCUUUGGAAUAGGACAUCAUAGAGGGUGAGAAUCCCGUAUUUGGUCAUUCCUUCUAGCUUUGUGAUACACUUUCAACGAGUCGGAUUGUUUGGGAAUGCAGUCCAAAAUGGGUGGUAAAUUUCAUCUAAAGCUAAAUAUUGGCGAGAGACCGAUAGCGAACAAGUACCGUGAGGGAAAGAUGAAAAGAACUUUGAAAAGAGAGUUAAACAGUACGUGAAAUUGUCAAAAGGGAAGCGUUUGACACCAGUGUUGUUUUUCCGAAAAUCAAUUACGAAUGUUUUGUUUUUAAGAAGUUAUGACUUCAUCGGCUUGCUUCUUUCUUUAUGAAACUUUCUUAAUGCACUUUUCGGUUAACAAGUCAACAUCAAUUUCUUUUGUUGUAAAAGGGUAUGAGGAAGGUGGCUUUCUUUUCGGAGAAAGUGUUUAUAGCCUUGUGCCUCUGCAAUCGGAGAGAUUGAGGUCUGCAGCGUAGAUCCUUCGGGAUUAGAUACAUUUGUGCUAAGUUAUAGCUUUUCAUAGACAACUUGUUGACUAUGUUUAGUCUUGUAGCUUACUCGCUUAUGCUAUUUUACCUACGCUUAGGAUGUUGAAGAUAUGCGCGACACG
rnacentral:rRNA from 1 species